rnacentral:lncRNA from 1 species
GAAAAUGGAAAUAUGUGACUAAAACAUGAAGUGGGAUGUAUUAUGUGCAUGCACCAGCUCUGUACAAGGAAUGUAAACAUUAUUUGUUGCAAACAUGAAUAAAAAUGAAAAGGGAUCAAAGGAUGGAUGGAAAGAGGGAAGGAAAGAAGCUGAGGAAAGGAAUGGAGCUGUGUUAUAUACGUUAACAACUUCUCAAGGGAAAUGCAAACAACCACUGCAAUGCAUACUAAUAAGGAAUUGACAAGGUGUAAUAGGGAAAUGUCACCAGGAGUGAAGGCAAGGAAAUCAACUUCAUUUGCUCAACAUCUAAGAGACGGCUGUGGAGGAAUCAUACACGAAACAGAAAUGAUUCUAAUAUGAGGAGAGAGAAGAUAUGAUGGUACAAAAUGACAUCUACUUCAUUGUUUUAAUGAUUUUACUUUGGGGCAAUUUAUAUAGGAAUUUGUGAACUGAAUGAAAGACCACCAAACUUGAAAAUGAUAUAUAUUAAAAUGUGUAAAUAUAUGCUGUGGUAGUACCUAGAUGUGUCUAGAUUCAAAAACUAAUUCUAACCAUCAAAAUUGAUUACAUUGCUUUAAAUUACAAAGUUUAAAAUGCUAAAUGUUAAAAUUUUAAUCUACAGAAUUUUGAGUAAACAUUAAAUUCUCAAUAGUUUUUCUUUAAUUCACUUGUUCAUUCCAUGAUUAUAACUGCUGAUAUUUCCUUUGUCU